UACGGGGGGGGCAAGCGUUGUUCGGAAUUACUGGGCGUAAAGGGCUCGUAGGCGGCCAACUAAGUCAGACGUGAAAUCCCUCGGCUUAACCGGGGAACUGCAUCUGAUACUGGAUGGCUUGAGUUCGGGAGAGGGAUGCGGAAUUCCAGGUGUAGCGGUGAAAUGCGUAGAUAUCUGGAGGAACACCGGUGGCGAAGGCGGCAUCCUGGACCGACACUGACGCUGAGGAGCGAAAGCCAGGGAGCAAAGCGGG
rnacentral:rRNA from 1 species